UACGUAGGGGGCAAGCGUUGUCCGGAUUUAUUGGGCGUAAAGAGCGUGUAGGCGGUUAGGUAGGUCCGUUGUGAAAACUCGAGGCUCAACCUCGAGACGCCGAUGGAAACCAUCUGACUAGAGUCCGGAAGAGGAGAGUGGAAUUCCUGGUGUAGCGGUGAAAUGCGCAGAGAUCGGGAGGAACAUCAGUGGCGAAGGCGGCCAUCUGGGACAACACUGACGCUGAGGCACGAAAGCGUGGGGAGCAAACAGG
rnacentral:rRNA from 1 species